rnacentral:rRNA from 1 species
UACGUAGGGGGGCUAGCGUUGUCCGGAAUCAUUGGGCGUAAAGAGCGUGUAGGCGGCCCGGUAAGUCCGCUGUGAAAGUCGGGGGGCUCAACCCUCGGAUGCCGGUGGAUACUGUCGGGCUCGAGUCCGGAAGAGGCGAGUGGAAUUCCUGGUGUAGCGGUGAAAUGCGCAGAUAUCAGGAGGAACACCAAUGGCGAAGGCAGCUCGCUGGGACGGUACUGACGCUGAGACGCGAAAGCGUGGGGAGCAAACAGG